UAAUACGAACCGUCCAAACGUUACUCGGAAUCACUGGGCUUAAAGGGUGCGUAGGCCGCGCGGAGGGUGGGAUGUGAAAUCCCCCGGCUCAACCGGGGAAUAGCGUCCCAAACCGCCGUGCUCGAGGGAGACAGAGGUGAGCGGAACUGAUGGUGGAGCGGUGAAAUGCGUUGAUAUCAUCAGGAACACCAGUGGCGAAAGCGGCUCACUGGGUCUUUCCUAACGCUGAGGCACGAAAGCUAGGGGAGCGAACGGGAUUAGAUACCCCGGUAGUCCUAGCCUUAAACGAUGAGCACUUGAUUGGAGGGAUGGUCACGUCCUUCCGGUCGUAGCGAAAGUGUUAAGUGCUCCGCCUGGGGAGUAUGGUCGCAAGGCUG
rnacentral:rRNA from 1 species